AAGAAAGUGACUGCCGCCCCGCACAGGGGCAGUGCUAAUAGACCGACACGAAAGCAGGAUUCCAUAGAAGGAAGCGGGGAAAAAGUGAACUGCCGCCCCGCACGGGGGCAACGC
rnacentral:sRNA from 1 species